GCUGGGCGAGGUGGCGGGCGCCUGUAGUCCCAGCUACUCGGGAGGCUGAGGCAGGAGAAUGGCGUGAACCUGGGAGGCAGAGCUUGCAGUGAGCGGCUCACUGCAAGCUCUGCCUCCCAGGUUCACGCCAUUCUCCUGCCUCAG
rfam:Chlorocebus sabaeus isolate 1994-021 chromosome 6, whole genome shotgun sequence.